GUGACGAGUGGCGGACGGGUGAGUAAUGUCUGGGAAACUGCCUGAUGGAGGGGGAUAACUACUGGAAACGGUAGCUAAUACCGCAUAACGUCGCAAGACCAAAGAGGGGGACCUUCGGGCCUCUUGCCAUCAGAUGUGCCCAGAUGGGAUUAGCUAGUAGGUGGGGUAACGGCUCACCUAGGCGACGAUCCCUAGCUGGUCUGAGAGGAUGACCAGCCACACUGGAACUGAGACACGGUCCAGACUCCUACGGGAGGCAGCAGUGGGGAAUAUUGCACAAUGGGCGCAAGCCUGAUGCAGCCAUGCCGCGUGUAUGAAGAAGGCCUUCGGGUUGUAAAGUACUUUCAGCGGGGAGGAAGGUGAUGAGGUUAAUAACCUCGUCAAUUGACGUUACCCGCAGAAGAAGCACCGGCUAACUCCGUGCCAGCAGCCGCGGUAAUACGGAGGGUGCAAGCGUUAAUCGGAAUUACUGGGCGUAAAGCGCACGCAGGCGGUCUGUCAAGUCGGAUGUGAAAUCCCCGGGCUCAACCUGGGAACUGCAUUCGAAACUGGCAGGCUAGAGUCUUGUAGAGGGGGGUAGAAUUCCAGGUGUAGCGGUGAAAUGCGUAGAGAUCUGGAGGAAUACCGGUGGCGAAGGCGGCCCCCUGGACAAAGACUGACGCUCAGGUGCGAAAGCGUGGGGAGCAAACAGGAUUAGAUACCUGGUAGUCCACGCCGUAAACGAUGUCGACUUGGAGGUUGUGCCCUUGAGGCGUGGCUUCCGGAGCUAACGCGUUAAGUCGACCGCCUGGGGAGUACGGCCGCAAGGUUAAAACUCAAAUGAAUUGACGGGGGCCCGCACAAGCGGUGGAGCAUGUGGUUUAAUUCGAUGCAACGCGAAGAACCUUACCUACUCUUGACAUCCAGAGAACUUAGCAGAGAUGCUUUGGUGCCUUCGGGAACUCUGAGACAGGUGCUGCAUGGCUGUCGUCAGCUCGUGUUGUGAAAUGUUGGGUUAAGUCCCGCAACGAGCGCAACCCUUAUCCUUUGUUGCCAGCGGUUCGGCCGGGAACUCAAAGGAGACUGCCAGUGAUAAACUGGAGGAAGGUGGGGAUGACGUCAAGUCAUCAUGGCCCUUACGAGUAGGGCUACACACGUGCUACAAUGGCGCAUACAAAGAGAAGCGACCUCGCGAGAGCAAGCGGACCUCAUAAAGUGCGUCGUAGUCCGGAUUGGAGUCUGCAACUCGACUCCAUGAAGUCGGAAUCGCUAGUAAUCGUGGAUCAGAAUGCCACGGUGAAUACGUUCCCGGGCCUUGUACACACCGCCCGUCACACCAUGGGAGUGGGUUGCAAAAGAAGUAGGUAGCUUAACCU
rnacentral:rRNA from 1 species